rnacentral:rRNA from 1 species
UACAGAGGGUGCGAGCGUUAAUCGGAAUUACUGGGCGUAAAGCGUGCGUAGACGGUUAUUUAAGUCGGAUGUGAAAGCCCCGGGCUCAACCUGGGAAUUGCAUUCGAGACUGAAUAGCUAGGGUGCGGUAGAGGGAAGCGGAAUUUCCGGUGUAGCGGUGAAAUGCGUAGAUAUCGUCAAGAACACCUAUAGCGAAGGCAGCUUACUAGGCUGUAACUGACGCUGAGGCACGAAAGUGUGGGGAUCAAACAGG